UUAAAAAUCACCCGCAUAAUCGAAAACCGUACAACUAAUCGUCUGAAUUAUUUGAUUCUGAUUACACUAAUAGUCACGAAUAAUUUCGCGUCUUCGCUUAUUGCGUCUUGUCUUGGGAUGAUAAAAAAGGAUUUCCGAAAGAUAAGAUUAAUGAUCAAGAAAAAUAAUCUUUUCGUGCUUUUGGUGUAAUGUGUCUUCGCUGCUGCUGUCGUCACGUAAGGAAAAAUAAAUACGAGGCAUUUGCGGACCCGCACGAUUCUGGAAAACCGGAAAAACCUUCGUGAUUAGGCCAGAAAAUCCUUAAAUGGCAAUAACCGGAAUUGAUAAUAAUCUCACCAAGGUCGACAACAACUUCAGCGUUGAAGCUUGACAAAGUAUCGAGAAUAAACUUUUAUUCGACCGGAAAAACACGGGAGCAGUUCCAGCGCUAAACAACUUCGUCAACAGCAGCAGCGGUAAACAUCAUUCUGGUGAGAAAAAAACUUGUUCAGUUCCUCAACGAUGAUUCAGACCACAGACACCAGCAGCUACCGAUUAUAACGCCAUUACCACCGUCAAUGGCAACAGCAGCACCGCCAAAUAUAACAUCAGCCGGAAGCGUUCCCUAGCACCACAACCCGUUUUCCGGUGGGAGAUAACUAACAAUAUACUCCGCGGAAAAAUAAGUGCUGCAGUCAAAUCAAGUUGAGUCAGAAAAAAAACCCGAAGCCUUUGAACCAGUGAGAUCCCGGAAAAGUAAUGAAGCUCGACAAAGUACAGGAUGCAAUGAAAAACUCCAUCAUCCGGUCGGACAAAUAACGGAGCAGAUUCAGCGCCAAAAAGAUGAACAUUCUGCCGGAACAACCAGUAUUACUUCAUCACCAGCUGCAGAACGAUUGCGACAACCUACAUCAACCGCCGCUUAUCGUACCGCUAUCACCACCACCAGCGUCAACAGCAGCACUACCAAAUCUAACAUCAGACAUUCGUCGGAAGCGUUAAUUUGCAUCACUGCCCGCUUUCCGGCGGAAGAAACCAUCAACGCAGCAGCAGCUACCAUUCUCGUCUGUACCGCAAGAAACGAAUCAGUUUAGCAGCAACAGCGGCCAGUUCAGCAUCUGCCUCGAGGAGUCAAUUUUCUUUUCCCACAACAGAAGCGCACCAGACGGCGGUUGGAAAAUAGAAGUUCCCUCACAAAAUCUUUCGCGCAACCGGUCAUUGCGCAAGCAAACGGAACCAGCAUCGAAAACAACAAAAAUUCUCGCUGGUGGUAACUACAGGAUUAGCACGAAAGGAGCACACUCUGAUGUUUGAACCAAUACCACAUAGGAUCCCCCGUAAUCAGCCCAUUUAGUGAUAUUUUGCCCGCAGAAUCUUCUGGCUGAUAGUGAACUGGAAAAAGGUCGAAAAAUUUGUUCCGGGUCCGAUGAUAGAACUGUCCCCGGAUGAUGGGGUAUGUUGAAGUAGUGUCCAGGUGGGCAACUUGUAGUUCCUGUACAGCGAUUUAGUUUUUGCACUUUAAGAUCUGGUAUUGAAGACUAACCCUGUUGAUUUGAAAAAGAUUUGGAAAAAAAUUUUCCCCCGCGAAAUACUUGCAACACCGUGCACUGGGCCGAAGGAAUCAGUGUGACGUGGCAAAAAAAAAACGAUGGCAACAUCUGCAAUGCAAUGUCAACGAGAAGCUGUGACAAACCUGGACCAAAAUUGGAGGAAUCGGUAUGUGAAUCGUGGAUCGUCGCCAGACUGACUAUUUAGUCUUUUUCGUGGAUGAGAUGGGACAAAGAAGUUUACAAGAAAUGCCAGCUUAAACAACAAAGAAUUUUAUCGAAUGUGGACUUGAUGAUUAAAAAACCAACAAUAGAAACAUCACCUUCGGCUCAACAGAAACGAUAUUUUCAGCACCAUUAACGGGAUAUUAAAACCCUUUAAUCGCCUUGUUCUCUUCCGGCUAAGAUUGACAAAAAAGUUGCCAACAAAUUAAGAAACUGGAGCCAGUUGUGCUGGUAAAUCCAGGAGCUGGAAACAUUUGGUGGCCAAUUAAUGAAAUCGAAAAGGUUUUGGCUAAGCGGUUCAAUUGUCGCCGUAAGGAGCAAGAAUCUGGCGAAAUGACUGCCCCUGGCCAGCGGCACCGAACAAAGCCCUCGGCACCGGCAUUUCCCAGAAGUUGCAGGAUCUUUCCUGCCACAUCGACAGGUCGCCUCAGAGUCCGACCAGGAAAAUAAUACUUGUGGGGACGCUUUCCACAAAUGAUGGUGCGGGUGGCUGCAUCGGAAGCAGCAUGGGAUGAAUCAAUGGGAGCCUUGGGCUAACUUCCGGAAUUGGUUCAAGCAGUAGUAAAGGUGGCGAUUCCGGUUUAGAUCACUUUCCAAAGAAACGUAAAGAUGAUUUAGCUAUAUCUGAUAGCACAGCAUUAUAUCAUAAGUAAACAAUAGGACAUAUAGAUAAUGACGAUACACAAUUUUGAUUUGGAAUUGAAUAGAUUAUUUUGUUUUCAGUGUAGGUACUAUUGACACAUUUGCUUUAACACUAACUGCUUUAGUAAAUAGUGACAUAACAAUAACCAUAACGUUAUCAAUCAACCCGUAAAUAGGUAUGAAUUAUUUAUUUAAACCUUGAACGAAAGAAUUUGAUUGUUUGAAUCAAAAAACGAAACAGAAUCGAACUGAUAACAACUACGCGGAAUAGCAGCGUCUAGAAGUUAGUGAAAGGGAAAGCGGAGUUGGAGAUGCGUUAACAAAGAAUUGUACAGAAACUUGUAGGGAUUUCAAUGAAAAGUCAAAAACAAAGAUAAAAAAAGAAACGUGUUAUUCAGAGCUGAAGUAAAAACAUCUAUCAGCAACAAGUAACAAAAGGAAUAAAUAAGAAUAUUUUUUCAUACUAGAAAAAUCACAAAAUAGAAUACUGCAAGUAAAAUUCUACAAAAACAUGGAGUAGUACAGUCGCUUAUAAGACUUUUUGUUCAGCACCAAUUUAUGACUUAGAUGCUUGUUCCGCAGUGGAGAGACAAGAAUCGCGAAACUCUACCACAAAAAAUAAAUGAUAAAUAAUCUGAAAACAUCAGUAUUGUUUUGACAAGUGAGAUGAAUUAAAAAAAUUGCUGAAAUGCAAAUUUUUAGGGAUUUCAGAAGUAACCUCUUUGUUUGCAUCAUAUGAUUAGACAUUAUUAUCUGUAAUAUUUAUGUUAUGUUAAAUUGAUUGUUUACAUAUUAUAUUCAAUAAUCAAAUACAAGUUUUGUAAUCAAAUCUGUAAUGUAAUAAUACAGUAAUCGAAUGCCAUACGUUAAGAAAUAAAAUAAUCUCUAAUUAGGUA